rnacentral:lncRNA from 1 species
CUCAGUUAACAUAGUACCAGCAAAGUUUGCAGCAUAUAUGGGAGGAGGAGUUUGAGCAGUGCAUUCCCCCAACUUGGUCUGGAAUAAUAUGUUCAUCAACUAGUCAUAAUCAUGUCUGCUCAACCCUGGUAUCAUAGAGCUUUGCCAUCUAGUCUUGCAACAGAUUGAUGGCUAGCAGGAGGAUUCCCUUGAGGAACAGACAACAGGCUCAACCCUGGUAUCACAGAGCUUUGUCCAUCUAGUCUUGCAACAGAUUGAUGGCUAGCAGGAGGAUUCCCUUACGGAACAGACAACAGUCCAUCAGAAAUAGAAGAAUCCAGACCAGUAGUCAGAUGAACAGCAUCAGGCCUCCUUCCCUUGUUAAAGGUGGAACUUUGUGGAUACCCAUGGAUCUUGAAGCACUUAUCAAUUAAGUGUCCAGAUUUUUUACAGUAUCUACAAAAUAAAGGUCCCCAUGGCUUGGUCAAAAUUGACUCUCUGUUGGUCAAAAUUGACUCUUUAUCUAAAAGGAGGAGGAGGAACAGACACUGUGGCCUUGUUAAAUCCAACAGGCUGUCUGUGUGUAUGUACAUUGAAAGAGACAGAGGCUGGAUCAAAGUGAGAGGAAGACUGAACUUGUCUUUGCUUCUCAUCAUUGAGGACCAUAUUAUAAACAUUGUNNNNNNNNNNNNNNNNNNNNNNNNNNNNNNNNNNNNNNNNNNGAGGACCAUAUUAUAAACAUUGUCAAGAGAAGGAGGAGGCUGCAUCAUCAAAAGAUUACUCCUGACCCCCAUAUAAGCUUCAUUCAGACCCAUUAAAAAAUGAAAGACCUUAUUAUCAUCACAUUCCUGAACUAUACCAUCUUUUGCAGCACAUACACACCAUAGAUCAUGAUUAACACACAUAGAAUCAAGUUCAUCCCACAGACCUUUUAGCUUGUUGAAAUAAGAAGNNNN